AUCAAUCUCUCGGGGUGCUAGGUCUUGUAAGAUCUAAGCUGAGAUAGCUCAAAAGCUUGACCCGUUGAACUUGAACUGGGUAAUACCAGCGUAGGGAAGAGAAUCGUAUAUAAA
rnacentral:ncRNA from 2 species